GUAGUACACAUAAUUCUGCUGUAAAAGAUUUUUAAACAUAUCACCUGUUUUCCGUAAUGAAAAAAAAAAAGAUAUCUUAAAGGCUGUAACAUAGAUUAAUUUGUAUUUUUUAGAAUCUAAUACUUUCUCGGUAAUAUUUUCCAAAGCAUCACCAAAACGCUGUGAUAGGCUUUCAAUGUCCAAAACAAUUAAUAUUCAAGAUGGUGUGACAUGGUUUUCAUUUUGGUGGAAACAAGGAAAUUUCCUAUGGUCCUUAAGAUUAUUAAUCUUUUAGGAGAACGAGAAAUAUUUUAUGAAUGAUAUUUUAUAAUGUUUUACUUUUCAAUAGAAUGUUUGAUUUGAGUAAAUGUUUAUCAAGUUUUACCUUCUAAAAUAGGUGGAUAAUGGAAAUGCUUUUACACCAUGAUUUUUUUUUUAAAUUAAAAAAUUUUGAAAGAGGAAGCAGACUGGCAAUAAAAGUAUGAAUAAUUUGCAAUGACUAAAGUGAAUCGUAAACAAUUGCCACUGUCAGUCUAUUAAUUUACAAUGCUAAAAAUUUUAAACAAAUGAUCUCUAAGUAUUUUUUUCUACUAAAUGUAAACUACUGUAAUUGAGAUUUUAACAUGAAGUUUAUAUAAUUAAAUUUGUGGUUUCUUGGGCCAAACCUGUUUGAGAUGAUGUAAUUUCACAUUUUUCUUGUCUUCAAUCUUAUCUCUGUGAAUAGCAAAACUUCUGCUACAGUUUUAUCAGAAUGGCAAAACCAUCUGUUUUGCCUAAACAUGCUAUAUGAAAACUUGAGAAAAAAAAAUUUGUUUAUGACUUUGACUAUUUCAUGAGCUGAAAUUUUUCAAGGAACCAAUUUUGCCCUGUAUUUCUGUACAAAAGAGAAAACCUUGUUAAUAUCCUGUUACAUUCUUUUACUUCAGGACUAUAAGCAUUUAAUAAAAAACAAAAAACAAACAACAGUAUCUGAACCUAAUGCUUAAGAAAAAGUGUAAAAUAGUUGGGUUUCAAAUUUCAUUUUCAUAUAUAAUUAUUCAGAGC
rnacentral:lncRNA from 1 species